rnacentral:rRNA from 1 species
AACCUUUACACUGCACGCCAGUGCGAUAAGGGGAUCCCGAGUGCGCAGGCAUAGAGCCUGCGCUUUUCUGAACUGUAGGGAGGUUCAGGAACAAGAGCUGGGCAAGACCGGUGCCAGCCGCCGCGGUAAUACCGGCAGCUCGAGUGAUGGCCGAUCUUAUUGGGCCUAAAGCGUCCGUAGCUGGCCGUGCAAGUCCGUCGGGAAAUCCACCCGCUCAACGGGUGGGCGUCCGGCGGAAACUGCAGGGCCUGGGACCGGGAGGCUUGAAGGGUACGUCCGGGGUAGGAGUGAAAUCCUGUAAUCCUGGACGGACCACCAAUGGGGAAACCACCUCAGGAAGACGGACCCGACGGUGAGGGACGAAAGCUAGGGUCUCGAACCGGAUUAGAUACCCGGGUAGUCCUAGCUGUAAACGAUGCUCGCUAGGUGUGCCGUAGGCUACGAGCCUGCGCUGCGCCCUAGGGAAGCCGAGAAGCGAGCCGCCUGGGAAGUACGUCCGCAAGGAUGAAACUUAA